UAGCGUAGGGUGCAAGCGUUUAAUCGGAAUACUGGGCGUAAAGCGUGCGCAGGCGGUUAUGUAAGACAGUUGUGAAAUCCCCGGGCUCAACCUGGGAAUUGCAUCUGUGACUGCAUAGCUAGAGUACGGUAGAGGGGAUGGAAUUCCGCGUGCAGCAGUGAAAUGCGUAGAGAUCGGAGGAACACCUGUGGCGAAGGCGGCCCCCUGGGCCGGCCCUGACACUGAGACGCGGAAGGCGAUGGGGAGCGAACGGG
rnacentral:rRNA from 1 species